CACGGAGUUAGCCGAUGCUUAUUCGCAGAGUACCGUCAUCAAAGUACACGUACUCCUUAUUCUUCCCCUGCAAAAGCAGUUUACAACCCAUAAGGCCGUCUUCCUGCACGCGGCAUGGCUGGAUCAGUCUUCCGACCAUUGUCCAAUAUUCCUCACUGCCGCCUCCCGUAGGAGUCUGGUCCGUAUCUCAGUACCAGUGUGGGGGAUAUCCCUCUCAGAACCCCUAUCUAUCGUCGCCUUGGGGAGCCGUUACCUCUCCAACUAGCUAAUAGAACGCAUACUCAUCUUUCACCGCCUCAGCUUUAAUAUAAAUGUGAUGCCACAACUAUAUACCAUUAGGUAUUAAUCCAAAUUUCUUCGGCUAUCCCUAUGUAGAAAGGCAGAUUGUAUACGCGUUACGCACCCGUACGCCGGUCGAAGCCCGAAAGCUCCUCCCUCGACUUGCAUGUGUUAGCCUGCCGCUAGCGUUCAUCCUGACGCCGAGGAUCCAAACUCU
rnacentral:rRNA from 1 species